rnacentral:tRNA from 2 species
GGAAGCGUAUCGAAGUGGUCAUAACGAGGUGGUCUUGAAAACCAUUUGGGUGCAAGCCCACGGGGGUUCGAAUCCCUCCGCUUCCGCCA